rnacentral:rRNA from 1 species
GACCAGCGACGCCGCGUGCGGGAUGAAGGCCUUCGGGUUGUAAACCGCUUUCAGUAGGGAAGAAGCGAAAGUGACGGUACCUACAAAAAAAGCACCGGCUAACUAUGUGCCACCAGCCGCGGUAAUACAUAGGGUGCAAGCGUUGUCCGGAAUUAUUGGGCGUAAAGAGCUCGUAGGUCGUUUGUUACGUCGGAUGUGAAAACCUGAGGCUCAACCUCAGGCCUGCAUUCGAUACGGGCAAACUAGAGUUUGGUAGGGGAGACUGGAAUUCCUGGUGUAGCGGUGGAAUGCGCAGAUAUCAAGAGGAACACCAAUGGCGAAGGCAGGUCUCUGGGCCAAUACUGACACUGAGGAGCGAAAGUCUGGGGAGCGAACAGGAUUAGAUACCCUGGUAGUCCAGACCGUAAACGGUGGGCACUAGUUGUGGGAACCUUCCACGGUUUCUGCGACGCAACUAACGCAUUAAGUGCCCCGCCUGGGGAGUACGAUCGCAAGAUUAAAACUCAAAUGAAUUGACGGA